UGGUUUCUAGUUAGGAAGUAUUAUACAAUGGCGAUGGCUUUCCACAUGGACACCUUCGGUGCCUCACAACUACUUUGACUUCGCAGCCUGCGCUGAUCCCAGACCAUCCCGAGAAACAAACUCUAGCUUGACGAAGGGACUUAGAAGUGCGCUUUGAAAAGCGCAUUAAUCAGGCUAUGAAGUGAAGGUAACAGGGGGGAACGGGUACAACUUUGAUUUUUAAGAUCUAUUGUUGAGAAAUAUUAGAAAUUAAAAAAAAAUCGGAUGAGCUCUACCGUCUGUAGGUGAAAAAAAUGUGCAGAAAUCCGUUUUCAAAUUUAACCAAACUUUCCUUAUGGAGUAGAAUUGGGCCUCUGUUUGCCUUUAAGAAUCACGACAUGCAGUACCAGAUCUCUCCCUGGUGUCUGCCUCCAGUAUUUGUGAAACACAAAAUUUAUGUAACCAAGGCCCAGGAACUAAAAUUUAUUAUCGAUUACUAUAACAUCUUAAAAUUGUUGUACUAUCUGUCACAGUGCGAAAAUAUAUUUGCCUUUGAACACAUAUACGAUGUUGCUACGAAUCCGCAGUAAGUGUCGUAUGUGCAUAAAUCCGAGCAGAGGAUCUGGUUCCUUUUUCGUACACUGGUUUAACAACAUAAACGGAAGUUGUAGGCAUAUGUUUUGUACGAUGCUAGCUUUUCAUGUCUGCUGAAGAUAUUCUUCUUUCCAGACAACACCUUAGAUUUCUUUCCCUCUUCUUGUAGUCUUUGAGUCUUGAAUCGUGGAGACUUCUGGUUUCUUCAUGUACUUCCUUCCUUUCCUUUCUCAGAGGACUUUUGGGCAUAUGCCCUUCGCGCGCUGUCCUCCUCCUUUGAUUCUUGCAGACAAGCUUGGUACUACCGCUGCCUUGGCCUUCACCCCUGAACACCAAAUCUCUUUCUUUCGCCCGAGAUUCAUUUUUCGUGUUUCGUUUUGUUAUGCUUACUUGGGUUUGUCUAAAAAAACUCGUACAGCGAAAAGGAGAAGGCAAAAAAAGGGUAACAAAGAAUGCUGAAGAUGAAGGUUUUGGAGAGAAUUAAUUUACAGAAGCAUAAGAAGACCAGUACUGAUGCUGCUCAUACCUUGAAGACGAACAGGUUUUCUUUUUUAUCACAGUUAAUGUUCUUGGAAGUGCAGGACCGAUAAGGUUAGUGGUAAGGGAGGAUGAUCUUGUAGCUCGAGUGAUCGACACUGCUUUCAAUUCCCACGCCAGCGAAGGCCGGCUACGUGUUCUUGGUUCCAAUGUCAAGGAUUUCCUUCUACACUGCACUUAUGCAUGAUCUGAUGCUUUAAGUCCCUGGGAAACCAUAGGAUCUCGUGGGGGAAGGAAACUUUGUGCUGUCCAAGCAGCAGAGGCAAGUGCAGAAUAAUAUUGCAGAAAGAAAGGCGGAGAUAACAGCUCCAAAGGGAUCAGUGAGUAGCUGGAAGGCAUGGCUUAACAAAUCAUUCACUUUCAAGAUAUCAUCAUCCCAUUGAGCGACUACAUUCAUCUUCUCAUGGGAACAUAUAUAUUUUUAUUUAAAACGCGACAAUAAUAUAAUAUUUCAAUCAAGUGGGAGACAAUAAUUGAAAUCAUAGAAGAUUAAAUUCUCUGUGAAUAAUGUAAGUUUAUGCAUUAUUACUUGGUUCGGAGCCACAUUCAUAUUGUUAUAUUUUGUUAUAAUGGAAGAGAAUUGAACUUUUAACCUAACUUAA